rnacentral:rRNA from 1 species
GAUGAACGUUGGCGGCGUGGAUUAGGCAUGCAAGUCGCGCGAGAAGUCAUUUAGCUUGCUAAAAGACGGACAGCGGCGGAAGGGAGAGUAACGCGUGGUUAUGUACCCUCGAGACCGGGAUAGUGUCGGGAAACUGGCAGUAAUACCGGAUAGCAUCUUCGGAUCAAAUGGUGUGAUUCCGCUCGAGGAUCGGACCGCGUACUAUUAGCUAGUUGGAGGGGUAAUGGCCCACCAAGGCUUAGAUGGUUACCGGGUGUGAGAGCAUGGCCCGGCCCACUGGGACUGAGACACUGCCCAGACAUCUACGGAUGGCUGCAGUCGAGAAUCUUCGGCAAUGGACGAAAGUCUGACCGAGCGACGCCGCGUGCGGGAUGAAGGCCUUCGGGUUGUAAACCGCUGUCAGUUAGGAGGAAAUCCAUGAGGGUUCUCUCUCAUGGUUGACAGAUUUUCAGAGGAAGGACGGGCUAAGUUCGUGCCAGCCGCCGCGGUAAAAC